ensembl:lncRNA
UAAAAAUUAAACUUUCAUAUAUUUUAGAUUCAUUGCACACCAACUGAAAUAUUUCAGGUCUUUUAUUGUUUUAAUACUGAUGAUUUUGGCAUACAGCUCAUGAAAACCCAAAAUUCCUAUCUCAAAAAAUUAGCAUAUUUCAUCCGACCAAUAAAAGAAAAGUGUUUUUAAUACAAAAAAAAGUCAACCUUCAAAUAAUUAUGUUCAGUUAUGCACUCUAUACUUGGUCGGGAAUCCUUUUGCAGAAAUGACUGCUUCAAUGCGGCGUGGCAUGGAGGCAAUCAGCCUGUGGCACUGCUGAGGUGUUAUGGAGGCCCAGGAUGCUUCGAUACUGGCCUUAAGCUCAUCCAGAGUGUUGGGUCUUGCGUCUCUCAACUUUCUCUUCACAAUAUCCCACAGAUUCUCUAUGGGGUUCAGGUCAGGAGAGUUGGCAGGCCAAUUGAGCACAGUAAUACCAUGGUCAGUAAACCAUUUUCCAGUGGUUUUGGCACUGUGAGCAGGUGCCAGGUCGUGCUGAAAAACGAAAUCUUCAUCUCCAUAAAGCUUUUCAGCAGAUGGAAGCAUGAAGUGCUCCAAAAAUCUCCUGAUAGCUAGCUGCAUUGACCCUGCCCUUGAUAAAACACAGUGGACCAACACCAGCAGCUGACAUAGCACCCCAGACCAUCACUGACUGUGGGUACUUGACACUGGACUUCAGGCAUUUUGGCAUUUCCUUCUCCCCAGUCUUCCUCCAGACUCUGGCACCUUGAUUUCCCAAUGACAUGCAAAAUUUGCUUUCAUCCGAAAAAAGUACUUUGGACCACUGAGCAGCAGUCCAGUGCUGCUUCUCUGUAGCCCAGGUCAGGCGCUUCUGCCGCUGUUUCUGGUUCAAAAGCACACGCCUGUGCACGGUGGCUCUGGAUGUUUCUACUCCAGACUCAGUCCACUGCUUCCACAGGUCCCCCAAGUUCUGGAAUCGGUCCUUCUCCACAAUCUUCCUCAGGGUCCGGUCACCUCUUCUCGUUGUGCAGCGUUUUUUGCCACACUUUUUCCUUCCCACAGACUUCCCACUGAGGUGCCUUGAUACAGCACUCUGGGAACAGCCUAUUCGUUCAGAAAUUUCUUUCUGUGUCUUACCCUCUCGCUUGAGGGUGUCAAUGAUGGCCUUCUGGACAGCAGUCAGGUCGGCAGUCUUACCCAUGAUUGCGGUUUUGAGUAAUGAACCAGGCUGGGAGUUUUUAAAAGCCUCAGGAAUCUUUUGCAGGUGUUUAGAGUUAAUUAAUUGAUUCAGAUGAUUAGGUUAAUAGAUCGUUUACAGAACCUUUUCAUGAUAUGCUAAUUUUUUGAGAAUUUUGGGUUUUCAUGAGCUGUAUGCCAAAAUCAUCAGUAUUAAAACAAUAAAAGACCUGAAAUAUUUCAGUUGGUGUGCAAUGAAUUUAAAAUAUAUGAAAUUUUAAUUUUUAUCAUUACAUUAUGGAAAAUAAUGAACUUUUAUCACAAUAUGCUAAUUUGUUGAGAAGGACCUGUAUUUUGUAACUGAUACGGAAACUUAAUAGGUAGCCAAUGCAGAGACUGUAAAAUUGGGGUAAUAUGAUCAUAUUUUCUUGACCUGGUAAGGACUCUAGCCGCUGCAUUUUGGACUACCUGUAGCUUGUUUAUUGAGGAUGCAGGACAACUACCUAGCAGUGCAUUACAAUAGUCUAAAGGUCAUGAACGCAUGAACUAGCUUUUCUGCAUCAGAAACAGGUAACAUGUCAUUGCAAAACCUACAUCUGCACCAAUGUUAGGAUUUGCCAACCCCAAGCUGCCAUAUGUGUUGAACACUGUGCCAGUACCAGUGGCCUUGGUGCAGCACUGUAUCAAGAGCAAGAUGGGCAGAUGAGAGUCAUUGCAUUUGCAAGCCGGGGACUUACCAGGAGUGAAGCAAAGUACCCAGCCCACAAGAAUUUUUGGCGUUGAAGUGGGCCGUUACUGCAAAAUUCAAUUACUACUUGUAUGGAGCUGACUUCACUGUGAACACUGUAUCAGGGGAUGAGGGAGGAGAUAAGGAGGCCCGUCUCCAACCCCUCUGAUAAAUAAAUAAAUGUAGACAUCUAACUUCUCAACCCAGAUCAAGUCACCUUUAUUUAUAUAGCGCUUUAAACAAAACAGAUUGUGUCAAAGAAACUGAACAACAUUAAAUAGGAAAACAGUGUGUCAAUAAUGCAAAAUGACAGUUAAAGGCAGUUCAUCAUUGAAUUCAGUGAUGUCAUCAUGCAGCUCAGUUCAGUUUAAAUAGUAUCUGUGCAAUCAUUUGCAAUCAAGUCAAUAAUAUUGCUGUAAAUGAAGUGUCCCCAACUAAGCAAGCCAGAGGAGACAGCGGCAAGGAACCAAAACUCCAUCGGUGACAGAAUGGAGAAAAAACCUUGGGAGAAACCAGGCUUAGUCGGGGGGCCAGUUCUCCUCUGGCCAGACGAAACCAGCAGUUCAAUUCCAGGCUGCAGCAAAGUCAGAUUGUGCAGAGGACUCAACUGGUUCCUGUGAUCUGGUCCUGGUGGUCGUCUGACACAAGGUCUUUACAGGGGACCUGGGGCUCAUCUAGUUGUCCUGGUCUCCGCUGUCUUUCAGGGCUGUAGAGGUCCUUUCUAGGUGCUGAUCCACCAUCUGGUCUGGAUACAUACUGGAUCCGGGUGACUGCAUUGACCAUCUGUCUGCCUCCCGAACAAUGUUAGGUAGGUUUUUCCAGAGUUUAGGCACUAAAUAGGAAAAGGAUCUGCCGCCCGCAGUUGACUUUUAUAUUCUA